CCAAUUUCUCGAAGGAAACAAUAUUUAAACCCUAAUGACAAUAUUAUUAAGGGUGGCCUCGCAUGUUUUAGUCCCGUCUGAGAGGAGAAUCUGUGGUGGAGUGCCUUUCCCAAGGGCAAAGCAUCACAAACUGGGUUGCAGUACCUGUUUUCCCAAAGGUUGGAGGUUACUUGAGAAACCCACUUGAGGAUCUGGUUGAUUUCCACACAGGGAUAUGUUUCAGGGUGACAGUGGGGACUAAAGAUAGAGGUUUCAGGGUAACAGUCUGCAAACCCACCUCAGCAUAUGCCCUCAAAGCACCUCCUUGGUCCUGAGGUAACAUCCAAAAGUGCCCCAGAGGGACUGAGGACUUAGGAGUCAUUGGCUGAAAGAAUGUCAGACACAACCAGAAAGCUGCAGGUUUUUUUAAGAUUUAAAGAGCCUUGUGGAGCUUUUGGAAAUAAAUGGGCCAGAGUUAGCGCUGCCUGGCCAAAACCAAGCUUGAGACAUUGUUCACUGCUACUUAAACCACCUGCACUUCCAGCAGCUGAAGACUGUCUCCACCUCUCUGAGUGUUAAACACAAAGUAAAACAAGUCUCUGGAACAUCUCCAAAGCAAAUACAGGAAGUAUGAAUUUAUUAAUUACAGCCUAUUUCCACCCAACUUUUCUCACCUUCCAUUAGUCCUCUACAUUCAUCACUCCCCCAGUGACCUGCUGAUGAGGCACGAAGCAUGACAGAGCAGAGAAAGCGAUGAGCUGGCGCUCCUGCCAUCCCUGCUUCUAAUAUCCUGACUCUGGGCAGGCCAAAAGCCUCCAAUAAGACAGGAAUCUGUGAAAAAACAAGAGCAGCACCUCCCUGACUGUCUUCCUGCUCCCUCCAGCAGCUCCUCCGCGUAACACAUCUCCCUGCCAGAGGCCAAGUGGGAAGCCCUGAGCUCAGCACUGCCUGACUGACGAGGAAGUUACGGCUUUUAUGUUCCAGCCUUGUCUUGCUGUAGUGUGAUUUCCAGUCAGGUGCUGAUUUCUUUAAUACAGUCAGUGACAUAGUGUGAUCUAUAGCACUUUAGAAGUGUUUCUUGCAAAGGUUUCCACAGAUGCCACCACAGUCUGCGCAGUGUGGCAGCUCUUUCUCUGACAGAAAAAACUCCUGUGUUUGUGCUGCCUCACUCCUGCUGUGGAAAACUACGGAGGCAUUUUACACACAAACUUUUCUGGCAAUUUAGAAAGAUUUAUUGACCCUAUCCUAGCAAUGACCUCCCUGCUUUUCACCCAUUCUGGAAGGUUUGGGGCUGAACUGGGAACAGCUAGUUCAUCUCCCUGCUAAAAGGUGUAGUGACCCAAGAGAAAUUUUGCUGUCAAUAUCCCACCACUGUGACAGCCAGGUUUUUUAAGGAACAGACCUAAUAGCAUGAGAUGCUAUUCACCUCGCUAUUCUCAGCAACAGCCCUUCCAAACACUCAGAUAAGCCACAGAUCUCACUAGUACGUUUUUUUUUUUACCCUGGUGUUUAUUGUACCAGUCACUCUCCCCAUCUGAGGUCUUCAGAGCCAAAUAUCUGCCAGUUACUUUUAGGUUGCUUUUCAACAACUUUGUAAAAACCAUCUACUAAAAAUCAUGAGGGCUUUUGAUCAUAUUUGAUUUCCAAGGGCAGGAAGAUACAAACAGAAAGUCCCCCUGGAGGCCACCUUGUUCAGGUCUAACUUUCCUUCCCAUCUCCACAGCAGUGUGAGAUGAGAGCAGAGCAGCUGGGAAACAGCUUGUUCACUUCACUGCCCAUUAUGUCUGACAAGCCUGUGAUAAACUUGGAACAAGCCUCCUUGAUCUGACACCUCCCCUUCUUUCCUCCCCUGCCUGGAUUUCCUGCCUGCAGCAAUAAAUUCAAGCACAAAUUCAACCUACUCCCACAGGAAGCUGCAUGCUCCUCGAUACAGAGAAUCAGAUGAGGAUGGAUAAGAGGUCUCGGAGCUCUUCCAGGGAGUCUCGUAAGAGAAACAGAGAGCCCCUGGCUACACAGAAGAAACGAGAGAAGAGGGAGAGCAGCAGAGAAGCCAACAAAGAAACAGGAGAUGUAAAACAGGAGAAAACAAAGGAGAUCAAGAGCAUCGCAGGGACUGAUGGUCGGGUGCACACAUCCACGGUGGUGGACGUGGAUGAUGUGAUAUCUGAUGAAGAAAUGGAGGCAAUGAUGUUGCUGGACAGCGAGCGUCAUGAAGAAGGUAUAAAGUCACCAGGUCUCGGCAUCUGCGAGUGGCUUCUGACUAUCUUGUCUUUCCUGUUCAUCGUAAUGACCUUCCCCAUUUCCGUCUGGUUCUGCAUGAAGGUAGUGCGGGAAUACGAGAGAGCCAUCGUUUUCCGCCUUGGGCGUCUCCUUCCUGGCAGAGCCAGAGGGCCUGGCCUUUUCUUUUUUCUCCCCUGCCUGGACACGUAUCACAAGGUGGACCUCCGCCUGAAAACCCUAGAGAUCCCCUUCCACCAGGUGGUGACUAAAGACAUGGUUACCUUGGAGAUAGAUGCCGUCUGCUACUAUCGUUUGGAGAAUGCCUCUCUUCUCCUCACCACCCUGACCAGCAUCUCCAGUGCCAUCCAGCUGCUGGUGCAGACCACCACAAAGCGCCUCCUGGCACAUCGAGCCUUCUCUGAAAUUCUCUUGGAGAGAAAGAGCAUCAGCCAGGAGAUAAAGGUGGCUUUGGACGCGGUCACAGGCCUCUGGGGCAUCAAAGUGGAGAGAACAGAAAUCAACAACGUGCAGCUGCCUGCUGAAGUCCGGCAGUCCCUGGCCGUGGAAGCAGAGGCCCAGAGGCAGGCCAAAGUGCGGGUGAUUGCUGCUGAGGGGGAAAAGGCUGCUUCUGAGUCCCUGCGCAUGGCAGCUGAGAUCCUGUCGAGUGCCCCUGCUGCUGCUCAGCUCCGUUACCUUCAUGCCCUGCACUCCCUUGCUGCAGAGAAACCUGCUGCCUUCAUCUUGCCCCUGCCUUUGGACCCCAUGAAUCUGAUCUCUCCAGCUACCCACAGCCCUCCGGGAGUGAGCGGCCUCACCACAGACACCACAAAACUCCCAGAAGGUGUUAAAGACAAGAAGGACUCACCCAUGCUCUAAGAGUUGUCCCAGAAAAGGUUGCCACAGUCCAUGGUCAAUCCUGCUCAGAGAGGAGCAAGAAGGCUGAUCUACAGGCAGCCAACCAGCAGAUCCAGCUGAGAAAGGAGGCAAGGGAAUGCAUUCAUCCCCAACAAAUGUGCCACCUAAGGAAAUCAUUGCCACACCACAUGGGCAGGACCAGUACAUGAGCAGUGUUCAAAGAACUGGAGACAGCAAGAGUAUCCUGUGCUACAAACACAAAAGGUAUGUGAGUGUGAAGGGACCUGGAACUUUCUUUUCUACCCAAAACAUAGUGGUCCUAAGCAGAUCUUUUUGACUGUAACAGGGACCGCUUACUUACAAGGAAGAUGAAGCCAAUUACAGUGGUUUCCUAUAUCUAGAGUAGAUAUAGACCCUGUGUCAUAUGUCAAAAUCAAACCAAAUGACUUUCAAAAACAGAUGGAGUUCAGCAUUUUUUUCUGCCCCAAUCUGGAAUUAUGGUAAAAGCCUCCUUGCUUGGCCUCUGCCAAUGAGUCUAGACAAAACCCUAGGAACUGUGCAGGAGGAAAGGGGCCUGCACUAAAUGGGACACAUGAACGAGGUACCCUCAAAGAUUGCUUCCCUCUCUGAGUCCAGGAGAGGGUCCAGAA